CAGGUCUGUGAUGCCCUUAGAUGUUCGGGGCCGCACGCGCGCUACACUGAAGAGAUGAGCGUGUUUUUCCUGCUCCGAAAGGAGUGGGUAACCCGCUGAAACCUCUUCGUGAUUGGGAUCGGGGCUUGAAAUUAUUCUCCGUGAACGAGGAAUUCCCAGUAAGCGCGAGCCAUAAGCUCGCGUUGAUUACGUCCCUGCCCUUUGUACACACCGCCCGU
rnacentral:rRNA from 1 species